AUAGCGUAUAUUAAAGUUACUGCAGUUAAAAAGCUCGUAGUUGGAUUUCUGGCCUGGUGUGCCUGACCCGCCAGCGUUAGCUGUGUGAGUGUCGGGACGCGCCUGCCAUCCUUCUAGAGAACAUAUUUACCUUUCAUUAGGCCGAAUAUGCCAUCUAGAUCUUUUACUUUGAAAAAAUUAGAGUGUUUAAAGCAGGCUUUUGCUAUGAAUACAUUAGCAUGGAAUAAUAAUUUAGGACUUCGGUUCUAUUUUGUUGGUUUCUAGAACUGAAGUAAUGAUUGAUAGGGAUAGUUGGGGGUGCUAGUAUUCAGCGGCCAGAGGUGAAAUUCUCGGAUUCGCUGAAGACUAACUUAUGCGAAAGCAUUCACCAAGGAUGUCUUCUUUAAUCAAGAACGAAAGUUGGGGGAUCGAAGACGAUCAGAUACCGUCGUAGUCUCAACUAUAAACUAUGCCGACUAGGGAUGAGUGAACGUUGCAUUUUCGACUUCAUUCGCACCUUAUGAGAAAUCAAAGUCUUUGGGUUCCGGGGGGAGUAUGGUCGCAAGGCUGAAACUUAAAGGAAUUGACGGAAGGGCACCACCAGGAGUGGAGCCUGCGGCUUAAUUUGACUCAACACGGGAAAACUUACCAGGUCCAGACAUAGUGAGGAUUGACAGAUUGAAGAUCUUUCUUGAU
rnacentral:precursor_RNA from 1 species